CCUACGGGAUGCAGCACUGAGGAAUAUUGGUCAAUGGACGAGAGUCUGAACCAGCCAAGUAGCGUGAAGGAUGACUGCCCUAUGGGUUGUAAACUUCUUUUAUAUGGGAAUAAAAUGUUCCACGUGUGGGAUUUUGUAUGUCCCCUAUAAAUAAAGAUCGGCUAACUCCGUUCCAGCAGCCGCUGUAAUCCUGAGGCUCCGAGCUUUCUCCGGAUUUUUUUGGGUUAAAGGGGUCGGAUGUGGAUUGUUAAGUUAGUUGUGAAAGUUUGCGGCUUAAACGUAAAAUUGCAGUUGAAACUGGUAGUCUUGAGUGCAGUAGAGGUGGGCGGAAUGCGUGGUGUAGCGGUGAAAUGCUUAGAUAUCACGAAGAACUCCGAUUGCGAAGGCAGUACACUGGACUGCAACUGACACUGAGGCUCGAAAGUGUGGGUAUCGAACAGGAUUAGAUACCCUAGUAGUC
rnacentral:rRNA from 1 species